GAGGGCAAUGGAGGUGGUAACUGGAGGUUAACGUCGUCCACUGUUGCGUUUUGAAUGUCGCGCCCCGAAGCAUGACAUGCUAACUAGCUUCUACGCUGUGUGCAUUAUCGGACACUCAGCAUCUUUGCUAAUUUCUUUUAACAAGCACAUGCACUGGUCCAGAACCGCCUCAACUGGAGCUGCAAGGUGAGCAAACAACAUGAUUCCAUGAGUUUAAAGGAAGGGAGGAAAACAGGAAGGAAAGAGAAAUUAAAGGACCAGAGGAAGGAAGAAAAAAAGAUAAUCCAGAUAACUCCAGUCGGUACCAGACUGUUUACCUGUCAGCUGCGUCUGGGUCACCCUCAGCGCUGCCGUCUGGUUUGGCAGCAGAGCCCCG